rnacentral:rRNA from 1 species
UACGAAGGGGGCUAGCGUUGCUCGGAAUCACUGGGCGUAAAGGGUGCGUAGGCGGGUCUUUAAGUCAGGGGUGAAAUCCUGGAGCUCAACUCCAGAACUGCCUUUGAUACUGGCGAUCUCGAGUCCGGGAGAGGUGAGCGGAACUGCGAGUGUAGAGGUGAAAUUCGUAGAUAUUCGCAAGAACACCAGUGGCGAAGGCGGCUCACUGGCCCGGUACUGACGCUGAGGUGCGAAAGCGUGGGGAGCAAACAGG